rnacentral:rRNA from 1 species
UACGUAGGGACCAAGCGUUGUCCGGAUUUAUUGGGCGUAAAGAGCUCGUAGGCGGCCCUCCACGUCGGAUGUGAAAGCUCAGGGCUCAACCCUGAGAUGCCAUUCGAUACGGGAAGGCUAGAGGUAGGUAGGGGAAAGUGGAAUUCCUGGUGUAGCGGUGAAAUGCGCAGAUAUCAGGAGGAACACCGGUGGCGAAGGCGGAUCUCUGGGCCUGAUCUGACACUGGAGGCGCGAAAGCUAGGGGAGCGAACAGG